GCUACUUUCCCCCUCAGUGUCAGCUCUGUAAAAACUUGUUUCAGUCCUGCCUACAUGCGUCUUGUUUCUUCCCUUCACACAGACGUUAAACAGCGAACUGAGACUGUGGUUCGAACAGAACAGGUGAAUACAAAGCUAAACGUCAUGGCCCCUCUUACAGUGUCAAAGCUUCUGUCCUGCCUCAUCACAUCUGCAAGUGUGCACAAUCUUGAUUAUAUCCGAACCUGGGCACAUUAGUUUCUUUUUUCAACAUUUUACUCUUUGUUACUUUCUGUUUUAAGAUGCCUGCACACUGAGUGCAUCCUCGCUGCGUUACUGGCUCAGUCCUUCAGAAGACCAUCGUGCAUUAUAGUCACUGCAAUGUGGUUUUCCCUUUGGGUUUUGUGUUCAGGAGUCAACAAACCAACAGUAUGCUACUGGCUCACAGAUAUUUCAGCUUCAGAUGUUUCCAUCACUGAGCUCUGUGAGACUCGUUUUAACUUUAACGUUGGGAGUUUUGCUGAAAAGUCAAUUAUCUAAAUUCAAAAUUGCUUGAAAGGGACCUAAAACUGAGACACACUGAAUGUGAAUUAGUAAACCGUCACCGCGGCGUACUGGCUGCAGCACAUUUUAGCUGCAUAGGGUGCAACGCUUCAUCUCCCCGCAUUCUGCCAUCAUUCACACAUAUAUGGACAAAGAGGUGAAGAUGUUUAAUUACUUCAUUCCAGUUUUCUGAUAAUGCCAAUCUAAGUGUCAGUCACUUGCACAGUCGUGUAGUUAAAUGAUAGGCGCCUACACUGUCAUACAUCAUUUAAACAUAUAUAAAUUGUCGAUUAAUAUUGAUGGAAAUCAUAAAUAAAUAAUGACUUAGACCUCUGGAUUGGCUUAAAUAACUCACCUCUCAUUUUCAUAUAUGUCUUGUCAUUAUUAUCUCAUAUGAAUAGCUGGUGCAGUUGACCUCUGCUGUAAUUAUUGUAUUUCAAAUUACUCAUGUACUCAAAUCUAUCAGUUUUUAACAUAGAGCUUUUUCUGUUUAUUUAUGUUCUUAUGUUACAAGUUCACACUCAAUUUCCUAGAAUAAAGUAGUGGCUAUAUUGUGAAUUUACCUUCCUCAGUUUGCUCUGCUUGUGACACCCCCACCCACCCCGCUAUCCCACUGUCCUCAGGCCCCUGGAGAGACCUUAUCUCAGGAGAGGCUGUGUGUUGGAUUGCUGAGUCACCUUUCGUGGGAGGCUGCCCUUAUCUCCUAAGAAGCACAACAUUCAGGCAGUUGGUUGCAAAAGGAGGAACUUUGGGCAGGAGCACUGUGGCCUGCUGUGUCUUCAUGGCCAUAUUACAGAUUGCAGCAAUGCUCGCCGACUUCCUCAAAGCCUUCGGCCCACGUCACUGCUUUCUCUGUAAGGCCAGGAGCUGCCGGCUUUGCAAGCAGGUGUGGGG